rnacentral:tRNA from 1 species
GAGCCCGUGGCUCAAUGGUAAGAGCGUUGGACUUCUGAUCAACAGGUCGCGGGUUCG